CGGCUCCUCGCACACGCAUGCGUCAAUCGGCAGCUUGUAAUGACACGAUUUCCAUCCACCUUUCUUGAAAUGAUCGUUGCCAAAAGGAGAAAAUAUUAAUAAAAUCGGGAGAAAAAUCCUCCUCAGCCGGACAGAACAAUGCAACCCCACAGAUUUUUUCUUUGACAAGCGCUGAUGGGAUGGCUGCAAAAAGAAAGAGAUCUCCUCACAUCCCCGAUCAGUCGGCAGCACUCUGAUGUUCAUCUGCAGCCGUGAGAACUACCUGUGUGUCCACUGAGUCUGGGGCCUGAAGUUCAAGUUGCGGUGCAAAGCUCCCAUGAGUCAGACUUUUGCAUCCUGAAAUAUGAUGCAGAGAAAACCUCAGGUGGACAAACAGCUGCUGGUGACGCCCGAGCUGAGCUGUAGGUACUGAGAUCAAAAAACAGCGACAGCGCAAAAAGUUCCAUUAUGAGAAAGAGACAGUUACAGAAUGUGAAAGCGAUUGAACCCAGGCCGACUGACGGAGAGAAAAAAAAAACCCACAAUUCUACAAAUCUGUAUCAGUGAAUGAUUAAUUAAAUUUUGUUGAAUGAUCUAUUCUAGCCUUGUGAGAUAUCAGUCUUCAUUUCUUUUUGCACUUUUACAGAAGAUCUCAAGAGACGGCUAGUUCAAAAGACGGUUCAAUUUAGAGUUCCCACUGGAAAUGGUUUCAGAAAGUCUCUGCUAUACGUUGGGCUUUGAUGUGUCUUAAAUGUCGUAAUGUUACUGUUCGGAGAUG